ACAGCCUCUGGUCGAUGG
rnacentral:snRNA from 1 species